rnacentral:rRNA from 1 species
GAUGAACGCUGGCGGCGUGCCUAAUACAUGCAAGUCGAGCGAAUGGAUUAAGAGCUUGCUCUUAUGAAGUUAGCGGCGGACGGGUGAGUAACACGUGGGUAACCUGCCCAUAAGACUGGGAUAACUCCGGGAAACCGGGGCUAAUACCGGAUAACAUUUUGAACCGCAUGGUUCGAAAUUGAAAGGCGGCUUCGGCUGUCACUUAUGGAUGGACCCGCGUCGCAUUAGCUAGUUGGUGAGGUAACGGCUCACCAAGGCAACGAUGCGUAGCCGACCUGAGAGGGUGAUCGGGCAGACGGGGACUGAGACACGGCCCAGACUCCUACGGGAGGAAGCAGUAGGGAAUCUUCCGCAAUGGACGAAAGUCUGACGGAGCAACGCCGCGUGAGUGAUGAAGGCUUUCGGGUCGUAAGACUCUGUUGUUAGGGAAGAACAAGUGCUAGUUGAAUAAGCUGGCACCUUGACGGUACCUAACCAGAAAGCCACGGCUAACUACGUGCCAGCAGCCGCCGUAA